rnacentral:rRNA from 1 species
CGGAAGGAUCAUUGUCGAGAUCAAAAAUAUCCUUUAUCGAGUGAUUCGAAAAACUCGUGAACCAAGUCUUGGCAAUUGCCACAAAGAAAAAUCCAUCCUAGUCAUUGUCUCAUCUCUCUUACGGAGUCGGGGCAUGAUGAACAAUGGAUGAAAAUUUUUAUCCGGCGCAGCCCCGCGCCAAGGGCAGAUCGGAAACACAUUAGCCCUACAUCUGUGGCUUAUUGAUAUGGAGUGCUUCGCACUCCAUAUGUGGAUCGAAAUGACUCUCGGCAAUGGAUAUCUCGGCUCUUGCAUCGAUGAAGAGCGCAGCAAAAUGGGAUACGUGAUGCGAAUUGCAGAAUCCCGCGAACCAUCGAGUCUUUGAACGCAAGUUGCGCCCGAGGCCAACCGGUCAAGGGCACGUUUUCCUGGGUGUCAAGCGUUGCUUCGCUUUGUGCCGGCUCCAAACCUUUCAUGGGUGUGCUGUGCAGGGCAUGGAAGCGUGGAGUGGCUCCUCGUGCCCAUGGGUGCGGCGGGCUGAAGGGCGCGGGGGGUAUGUUAUCUUGUUGGCCGCGAGCAAUAGAGGGUGGAAGCAAGGAAUGUCUGUGUUGAGUCGCGUUGGCCAAAGGAUAGAUUAUAUACACUCUUCUCAUUUUAUCCCAACCCAUGCACGCUGGUCUGAAGGCGGCGGGGCAUGAAAUGCGACCCCAGGAUGGGCGA